rnacentral:lncRNA from 1 species
GAUUCUUUCAGGAUUGCAAUUCGCUUCUGCCAUACUUUCUAACUGCUCGGGGUUGCACAUGUGUCGUUGUCUCCGACAUCGACCACCUUCAUUGGACUUGUUGCGACCUCCUCUCUCUGGAUCUAGCCUAGUUGUAUUGAUUGAGCCUUUUUCAGGUUUUAAGUUUUCACUCUAUCUUACUCAUUCAUGGCUUUUGUCCUCUCUGCUUCCACCAAUACGUCUGACCCAUCCAUAUAUACUAUGACAAUAUGCAUUUGUUUAAUUAUAAGUUAGACGAAAAUAAUUAUGCUAAUUGAGCAUUAGAUGAUAUAGGCUCAUGUAGUUUUUUCUCUCUUUUCUUUUCUUCUUUCUCUUUUCUUCUUUUGUUUUCUUUGUUCUCUUCUAUUCUUCUCUUUUCUUUUUUUUCUUCAUUUUCUUUUUUGCUUCCACUCUUUCUUUCAUUCUAAGGCUUCAGACGUUGUAGGCUUCAAGAUAUAGUGGAAAGCGAGAUACAAUGAUAGUUUUUUCUUCAUAUUUUUCUUUUCUUGAGCUUGCUUUCGUAAUUUUUCUUUGGAUUGAGAUCAUUAGACGAUAUAUGGGUAAAGCUAAUGUUUUAUGAUCUUUCUCGGGCAUACUCUCCCUUUUUCUUUCUCAUUUCUCACUUCUUUUUCAUAUCUUCUUCAAUAACUUCUUCUCUUUAGUUGAUCUUCUUUAUAUAGGCUCUCUUGAGAUAUGACCGUGGGAUUUUGAGUUGGUUUUAGGAGAGUAGGUAUCUUUUAGGUUGGAAGUCAGACUUUAGUCUUUUCUACAAAGGUAAAUUGUUUUUAUUAGAGUUU